UACGGAGGAUCCGAGCGUUAUCCGGAUUUAUUGGGUUUAAAGGGUGCGUAGGCGGCCUUUUAAGUCAGCGGUGAAAGUCUGUGGCUCAACCAUAGAAUUGCCGUUGAAACUGGGGGGCUUGAGUAUGUUUGAGGCAGGCGGAAUGCGUGGUGUAGCGGUGAAAUGCGUAGAUAUAUGGAAGAACACCAGUGGCGAAAGCGGCUCUCUGGUCUGUAACUGACGCUGAGGUUCGAAAGCGUGGGUAGCAAACAGG
rnacentral:rRNA from 1 species